CCAGGGCGCAGCCGCGGCUACAGUGUAGCGGCUGGGGUCCCAGCCCCACCUGGCCUGCGGGGGCGAGAGCGGGCCCCAGCGCGACCUUGGGCCUGGGGAGUGUGUCUCCGACGCCUGUGGGCGCAGCAGUCUGAGGUCUAAGCGCAGGUUGAAAACGACAGGUACAAGCCAUUGAUGCUGGAAUGCUGUGAUGCUGGUAUUUUAACGGACUCAAAACUAACGUUCAGGCUAAGUGUGCUUAACGAGGUCAGGCAUUGUUGUGUAAGUAAUGAGGUCAGGCAUUGUUGUGUACGUUGUAGCAGCCAUGUGUCCAUGCGCCUGCACAGGAGUUCACACGCAGUAGCUGGUGGUGAGAGAGCAGUGCAGCGGGCGCCUCAUUUCCUUCUUUUCAUUUAAUUCUCACAAUUAUGUGGAGUCAACACUGUUCUCUAAUUUUACAGAUAAAGCAACAUUAAGUCCCCCCCCACCAACCCUCGGAGGACUCUGGGCCACUCCUAUACCUAUCAGGGACACAAGUCUUAGUCAAGGAUUGGAAGGCACUCACCCAGUUCUCUAUAUGAUAAAGUUCCAGGGAUCGCCAGUUGGACCCACCUCCUGGACCUGGCUUACACCUUUUUUGCAAAAAAAAAACAACAAAAAAAAACCCCAAAACAAACCAGAAUGCUUCUAAAUUCCAGAUAAGGCCCAGCCGUCUCUUCUAUUAUCUCCUCAUUCACCCUAGCUAAUUCCAGUAGCGCUUAUCAAUUAGCCAACUUUAUUGCCAUUACUUUACAAUUCAAUACCACCUGCUGGGGAUAUAUAAAACCAACAUCUCUGGAAUUGGGGAGCACUUACUGCUGAUCUAGUUUGAGAACCUCCCCAAAUCCCGAUAUUGCCAAGGAAAGCCCCAUAAGGAUGUAAACUUACUAAGGGUGAAGGGCAAUUGUGUCACUCUUAUCUGUGAUUCUCAAAAUACCCUACAUUUGAAUCCCCAAAGGGGGCCCCUAUUUCUUGAAAGAAUUUAUGAAAAAAAUCUAUAACCCCUCUACUUGACUCCCUAACCACAGCCACAUUUGCAGCCCAGGGGGUCCAACUCUGGGGAACCAAGUUCUCCAUCAGAAGGGGAAACCAUGCCUCUGGGGAAAGUAUUCUUAUGCUGACAUCCAGGUAACUGAAGAACUUACCCUUCCGAGGAAAUUUCCUGGAUUUGGGGAUCCUGUGCCUGACUGGCUUUGUCCGCUGGAUGGAGAGGUAUUUGCUCUCUAGGCUAUGUCAUCCCUAUGUCAGCAUGACAACCCCAUAGCCUGGAAUGACAGCCCCCUUUCCCUCUCCAUUCCGGAAGUCAUCUAAGUGGAAGAGCAGGGUUUCUCAUCCUCCUGGGGGGAGGGGACAGCUGUAGGAGCUUCACUGGGGAUCCAACAGCUUUUAUCCGAAAACACAGCUGCCGCUGGAAGACAGGAGAAACCGUAAACAUGUUGGAAGAGCAAAUUGAUUCCUUAGCCUGUAGCCCUUCAGAAUAGAACGUGGUACCUGUUUACACCUAAAGGAGGAAUGUUGCCUCUAUAUCAAUCAGGGCAGGUACAACAAAGCACCAGACAUCUUUGAAAGGGCAAGCAACAGAUUACUGGGGACUCCUUCUGGAAUGCCAAAUCUUGGCUUCUCUUCCCCUUCCCUUUGCUGCGACCAUAAUUCUGGCUCCUAAUAUUUGGGCCCAUGUCACCUUAAUUUAUUCAACACAUUCCUUAUAUAGCAGCCAUACAGCUCUGAAGUAACAUACUGAAACAGGUUAGGCCAACGGGGGAGCGGGGGGUGAGGACCACAGGGCAGCUAUUGAGAAUUAAGUUCUUCACAGCAUUUACAUUGAAUCUACAAAAGCUCCAAAAUUUGGCCCAAAUGGGGCAUAUGUCAGCAUUUUUAAAAAUGAAUAUUGCAUAAUGUAAGAAGGGAUAUAAAAGACAGUGGUGCUAAAUAGAAUAGGAAAGUACUGGUGGUGAUGGGGGAAGUUUUCAUAAGGGAAGAAAUGUGGCCACAGCAAGAUGAGCACAGGCAAGUGUGUGCUAGAAGUCGUUCCUGGUGCCCAGCUUAAUGUCAAACUCGUUUUCUUGAAAUCUCUAAUAAAGGUAUAUAAUAUCCA